GGGCCACUGGCUCAAUUGGUAGAGCAACGGACUCUUAAUCCGUGGGUUGAAGGUUCGAGUCCUUCGUGGCCCACCA
rnacentral:tRNA from 1 species